rnacentral:SRP_RNA from 1 species
GCCAGGCUCGGUGGCUCAAGCCUGUAAUCCCAGCACUUUGGGAGGCUGAGGUGGGAGGAUCUCUUGAGCCCAGGAGUUUGAGAUCAGCCUGGGCCACAUAGAGAGGCCCUGUCUAUAUUNNNNNNNNNNAGGAGAAUGGCGUAAACCCGGGAGGCGGAGCCUGCCGUGAGCCAUAUUUGCACCACUGUGCUCCAUACUGGGUGACAGAGCAAGACUGUCUCCAAAAAAAAAAAAAAAAAAAAAAAAGAUUUAGUUAAUUAGUUAAAAAUAUAGACAGGGCCUCUCUAUGUGGCCCAGGCUGAUCUCAAACUCCUGGGCUCAAGAGAUCCUCCCACCUC